rnacentral:misc_RNA from 1 species
UCUCCGUUGGUGAACCAGCGGAGGGAUCAUUACAGGACUCGCAAGACUCCUAAAACCCUGUAACCUUAACUAUAUGCUCGCCGCUGCGGCGGGUGUCCCCGAGCCCGUUCUCCCUCCCCGCGGCGCUACACCCGCCGGCAGCCUAAUAUACUCUGUCGCUUUUCGUUGUCAUCUUGAGUACAAUCAAACAAGUUAAAACUUUCAACAACGGAUCUCUUGGCUCUG